CCUCAGGUGUCUGUAGUCAUCAGUUUAUAAAAAACAUUUACAUUACAUGUCUGCUCAUUUCCAUGAGUUCCUCCUGAGAUUAAGGUAAUGAAUCCGUACAAGCUGAAAAGAGCUUGGGAAAACCUCUCAGCUCCAAUAUUCACUUGUGUUGGAUGUACUUGAACACGGUACAUUGUGAUCAUUCACUCACUUUUUCAUCCACCUCUGUUUACCAAGGCAAAUAUUGCUCAACCAGAACUUCUUUGCAUCAACAGAAAUAGUCUGACUUGUUUCAUCGUUUGUGAUACAUUCAUGGCUUCUAUCAGAGCACAAUAACAUACAACAGCAGAACAAAUCAACAACAAAAUUAGAUGGAGCCAAAUCAUCUCUAGCAGCCACUUCUGCUCACUUGAAGACAAUCUUACACAGAGUGCAGCCUGUUCCCUGCCUCUGUGUUUCCCAGGGACUCCUCAAACACACAUCAGGAGUGAGAUAUGGGCUAAACAGGAGUUACCCCGGUGUGAAGCAGCUCCAGGGCCCUGCAGUUCCUGCAGUUGAGCCGUGCCACCUCCUGGCUCAGCCGAGAAACACAGCCCGCCUGGGAGCCACCUCCGAGUGCCCGGCUCCUGCCCCAAAGGAUGGCCCUGUGCUUCUCUCGGCUGUUCCCACCCCGACUCUAGAUAAUUUCAGUAAUAACUCUUCCCACAGUGAAGUAUUUUUUUCCUUAUACACAGACAGAAUUUCCCGAGGUAACUAGUCUGCUGCCUCUUGCCCUGUCCUUGUGCAUCUUUGUGAAGAUUGUCUCCACCUUCUCCACAAAUACCUCUUCAUAUUUGAUAUUUAAUAUUUAAUUAAUUUAAUAUUUGAAGAAUGGAAUGAAUUCCCCCAAAACCUUCUUCUUUCCCUUCCCUUCCCUUCCCUUCCCUUCCCUUCCCUUCCCUUCCCAUCUUCUGGUUUCUGUGACUUUUCAAAAAGGAUUACAUGUCUUUGCAAUGAUAUUAGCAAGUUCUCAGCACUCUGAAAUACACCCAAGGAGGGCCCACAGAUCCUUUUCUUUCUCUAUUUAUCUCUAGCUUGUACAGAGAGCCCACAAUCAGCGCAAUACUACUAUUGGUGGUGUGCUGCUCCAGCCCUGCUCUUUAGCACAGAGCUAAUGCUGGUGGCUACACAUGUACAGAGAUGUCAGAAAUACCUUAUUUAAAACCCUGAUAGAGCAGUUCCAAAGCAUUUCAUGGUUUGUUUCAUCUCCUGCUACUGAAAACAGGCAAGUAUGUAAAAAUAAUCUGUUCUCAUUGAUGUUAAAACCAGCUUUAAAGUUCAUGUAAAAAAAUUUAAGUGAUCUGAAAAAAAAAGCCUUACAAUGAUUUUUGGUUGCAAUCUUAAGGUCAUUUGACAUCUGUUACUUUGAUUGUUUGGCAAUAAUACGAAGAUAUUCU
rnacentral:lncRNA from 1 species